rnacentral:rRNA from 11 species
CAGUGGAUCACUCGGCUCACGGGUCGAUGAAGAACGCAGCCAGCUGCGAGACUUGGUGUGAAUUGCAGGACACAUUGAGCACUGAUUUUUCGAACGCACAUUGCGGUCUCGGGUACUAC